CGCGACGCUAUGGCGCACUGGAGUACCCUGUUCCUGGCAGGUCCCACUCCAUUGCCCAAGCUGAAGUUCAGUGGCACGAACAUGUUUCACUGCAGCCUCAACCUCCUGGGCUCAAGCUGUCCUGCCUCAGCCUCCCGUGUAGCUGGGACCACAAGCACUCGCCAUCACACCUGGAUAAUUUUUUGAUGUUUCAUGGAGACAGUGCUUCACUUUGUUGCCUAUGCUGGUCUUGAACUCCUGGCCUCAAGCAAUCCUUCUGCUUUGGCCUUCCAGAGUGCUGAAAUUACAGGGGAGGAACAGGAAGAGAAGAGUGUGGCCUCCUAGAAAUCUAGCACGGAGAAAGACUGGUCUUGAACUCCUGACCUCGUGAUACUCAGCCUCCCAAAGUGCUGGGAUUACAGGAGUGAACCACCAAGCCCGGCUUGACCUCUUGGCUUUUACCAAAGGAUGUUUGCUUCUGAGGAAGCUGGAAGCUGCAGCCACAAUGUGCCUUUGCAGGGGAGCCUGAGAGCCACAGAUGUUAAGGAGAACUGCAAACCACUGUUCAAUGAAAUAAAAGAGAAUACAAACAAAUGGAACAACAUUCCACGCUCAUGGGUUGGAAGAAUCAAUAUCGUGAAAAUGGCCAUACUGCCCAAGGUAAUUUAUAGAUUCAAUGCCAUCCCCAUCAAGCUACCAAUGACUUUCUUCACAGAAUUGGAAAAAACUACUUUAAAGUUCAUAUGGAACAAAAAAGAGCCCGCAUCGCCAAGUCAAUCCUAAGCCAAAAGAACAAAGCCAGAGGCAUCAUGCUACCUGACUUCAAACUAUACUACAAGGCUACAAUAACCAAAACAGCAUGGUACUGGUACCAAAACAGAGAUAUAGAUCAAUGGAACAGAACAGAGUCCUCAGAAAUAACACCACAUAUCUACAACCAUCUGAUCUUUGACAAACCUGACAAAAACAAGCAGUGGGGAAAGGAUUCCCUAUUUAAUAAAUGGUGCUGGGAAAACUGGCUAGUCAUAUGUAGAAAGCUGAAACUGGA
rnacentral:lncRNA from 10 species